rnacentral:rRNA from 1 species
UACGUAGGGUGCAAGCGUUGUCCGGAAUUAUUGGGCGUAAAGAGCUCGUAGGCGGUUUGUCGCGUCUGCUGUGAAAACUCGGGGCUUAACCCCGGGCCUGCAGUGGGUACGGGCAGACUAGAGUGCGGUAGGGGAGACUGGAAUUCCUGGUGUAGCGGUGAAAUGCGCAGAUAUCAGGAGGAACACCGGUGGCGAAGGCGGAUCUCUGGGCCAUUACUGACGCUGAGGAGCGAAAGCGUGGGGAGCAAACAGG